rnacentral:rRNA from 1 species
UAGGGAAUCUUCGGCAAUGGACGAAAGCUGACCGAGCAACGCCGCGUGAGUGAAGAAGGUUUUCGGAUCGUAAAACUCUGUUGGUAGAGAAGAACGUUGGUGAGAGUGGAAAGCUCAUCAAGUGACGGUAACUACCCAGAAAGGGACGGCUAACUACGUGCCAG